ACUUUAUGGUGAGGGCAUUUAUGCAAGAGGUUCCUAAAACGCUCCCAUGUCUCGAAAAAUAGCUCCCUAUCCAAUUGAGAGAAACUAGUGAUGACCUUCCUCAGCU